AAAAAAGUCUAUCAAAUUGUAUUUGAUACUUUUCUGGAACACUAUUUGAAACCCUUUUGAAAUAUAUUUUCACCAAACAUAUUUCAAAUACCCUCAAAUACUCUGCUCUAAAUGUUUAGCAAAAGCCAGAUGUUUAUAUACAAUUCUAUGAAUAUAUGUUCUAAGUAAAUCGAUCAAUGAAUUGCUCAAAGGGACUUUAAAGUGGCAAUCACCCCAACACUGUUUUGUUAACUUAAGGAUCUGACCUUUUUUUUCCAAUUUUCGCUUAAAAUGACACCCAAAUCUAACUGCCUGUAGCUAAUCUUUGAAAUGCAAGAGAAAGGCCAUACUUUCAGAUAGGAGUCAAGUGUAGUGUAGAUUUUGGCCACCAGAUGGCAGCAGUGUGUGUGCAAAGGUUCAGACUGAUCCAGUGGAGAAUUACAUUACUGCACAAUAGUUUGUAUCAAGUCUGCCAGGAGUUUGCCCAAAUAUGGCAAAUUGGUCAAUUUUCAAGUAUAUAGCUAUAGAGAACAUAAAAAAAUGUAUUACCAUAGCAUUUUUGUAUCUAACUUUCACACAUCUAGAUGGCCGGGCGGGGUGGGUGUGGAGCCAGAGACAGCAGUGGGGUCAAACUGUAGACCCCAGUUCAUACAUUUGAACAUAAAAAGGGAUUUUAUCAAACAAAACGAUGCUACAUUUUAUCUCUGGGACCCUCAGGAUGACAAAUCAGAGCAAGAUUACUGAUUAUAAGUACAUUAUUUACCUUCAGAGGUGAAUGUAUCAAACCAGUUGCUGUGAUACGUUUUUGUUUUUGUGUACUCCUCAAACGGUAGCAUGGUAUUUGUUCACUGUAAUAGCUACUGCUAAUUGGACACUGCAGUUAGAUUUACAAUAAUUUAAGCUUUCUCCCCAUGUAAGACAUGUCUAUGUCCCAGGAAAGUUGGCUAUUGUAUACAACGUCAUUCUAGUCACAUUAGCGCACAUUAGCAACAACCACUCCGGUUUAGGGACACCUGUAGAGGUUAAACUGCUGAGGGAUGGGGCUGGUGAAAUGUUAUCAAAAGCAACAAAGAUAUUGAGGAUUACCUAAUCACCCAAUAUCUUCCACUAACUACUGAUCCUCUGAAAUUCUGGAAAAAACACAGUCACAUACACCCAACACUGACCAGAGUUGCUGCUGAGUACUUACAUGUCCCAGCAUCCUCCCAGCUGUGGAGCGGCAUUUUAGCAUUGGAGGGCGUAUCUUCAGACCAGAUCGCUGCUCAAUGUCCGAUAAGCUUUUUUGAAACCCUGCUGUUUUUUAAAUGUAACAUGGCAUCUUGCCAUCUUUCAUGAGACACCAAUGUAAGGUAGCCUAGUGGUUAGAGCGUUGCAAGAACGAAGAUCAGCUCCCUGAGCUGACAAGGUAAAAAUCUGGUGUUCUGCCCCUGAACAAGGCAGUUAACCCACUGUUCCUAGGCCGUCGUUGAAAAUAAGAUUUUGUUCUUAACUGACUUGCCUAGUUAAAUAAAGGUCAAAUAAAUAGUGAUUAAAAGAAGUAAGACCUAUACAUGUAAUAUCUAAAUAUUUGUUUUGUAAAGUAAUUGAAAUACCUGAAAUCGUAUUUGAACCGAGAUCUGGUGGUGCCUAUAAAAGUCAGAGUGACAAAGGGUUGUUACAAAGUAGAAAUGGCACAUUGAGGGUCACAACUUGGAGUCAAUAUUGAGACAACAUUGUGUGGUGUGUUUGCCGGGAAUGUGGUGGUCUCCUAUGCAUUCUGUAGUAUGUUGCAGCCAUUGUUAAUUUACUGUAAUUUUGUAUUUAUGUUUAAUUUACUGUUUGUUAUGUCAUGAUGCGGCUAGUCUUUCCAUUUAAAGGUUGAGUGAAAAUAUUGCUUAUAUGGUGAUAGGUAGAGAGG
rnacentral:lncRNA from 1 species